rnacentral:rRNA from 1 species
UCCAGACUCCUACGGGAGGCAGCAGUGGGGAAUAUUGCACAAUGGGGGAAACCCUGAUGCAGCGACGCCGCGUGAGCGAUGAAGUAUUUCGGUAUGUAAAGCUCUAUCAGCAGGGAAGAAAAUGACGGUACCUGACUAAGAAGCCCCGGCUAACUACGUGCCAGCAGCCGCGGUAAUACGUAGGGGGCAAGCGUUAUCCGGAUUUACUGGGUGUAAAGGGAGCGUAGACGGCAAUGCAAGCCAGAUGUGAAAGCCCGGGGCUCAACCCCGGGACUGCAUUUGGAACUGUGUAGCUGGAGUGUCGGAGAGGCAGACGGAAUUCCUAGUGUAGCGGUGAAAUGCGUAGAUAUUAGGAGGAACACCAGUGGCGAAGGCGGUCUGCUGGACAGCAACUGACGCUGAGGCGCGAAAGCGUGGGGAGCAAACAGGAUUAGAUACCCGAGUACU